rnacentral:rRNA from 1 species
UUGAACGCUGGCGGCAUGCCUUACACAUGCAAGUCGAACGGCAGCACGGGAGCAAUCCUGGUGGCGAGUGGCGAACGGGUGAGUAAUAUAUCGGAACGUGCCCAGUCGUGGGGGAUAACGUAGCGAAAGCUACGCUAAUACCGCAUACGAUCUACGGAUGAAAGCGGGGGAUCGCAAGACCUCGCGCGAUUGGAGCGGCCGAUAUCAGAUUAGGUAGUUGGUGAGGUAAAGGCUCACCAAGCCGACGAUCUGUAGCUGGUCUGAGAGGACGACCAGCCACACUGGGACUGAGACACGGCCCAGACUCCUACGGGAGGCAGCAGUGGGGAAUUUUGGACAAUGGGCGCAAGCCUGAUCCAGCAAUGCCGCGUGCAGGAUGAAGGCCUUCGGGUUGUAAACUGCUUUUGUACGGAACGAAACGGUGAGCUCUAAUACAGUUUGCUAAUGACGGUACCGUAAGAAUAAGCACCGGCUAACUACGUG